CAGCAGCCGCGGGAAUACGAAGGGGGCUAGCGUUGUUCGGAUUUACUGGGCGUAAAGGGCGCGUAGGCGGACUGAUAAGUCAGGGGUGAAAUCCCAAGGCUCAACCUUGGAACUGCCUUUGAUAAUGUGUGUCUUGAGUUCGAGAGAGGUAAGUGGAACUGCGAGUGUAGAGGUGAAAUCCGUAGAUAUUCGCAAGAACACCAGUGGCGAAGGCGGCUUACUGGCUCGAAACUGACGCUGAGGCGCGAAAGCGUGGGGAGCAAACAGGAUUAGAUACCCCAGUAGUCCCUGUCUCUUAUAA
rnacentral:rRNA from 1 species